GCGACGCCGCGUGAGUGUGAGGCUUCUGGAUGUAAAGCUCUUUUUCAGGGAAGAAAAUGACGGUACCUGACUAAGAAGCCCCGGCUAACUACCUGCCAGCCGCCGCGGUAAUGUACCAGCCGCCGCGGUAAU
rnacentral:rRNA from 1 species